rnacentral:rRNA from 1 species
GCUAAUACCGCAUAAGCGCACGGUUCCGCAUGGAACAGUGUGAAAAACUCCGGUGGUAUACGAUGGAUCCGCGUCUGAUUAGCCAGUUGGCGGGGUAACGGCCCACCAAAGCGACGAUCAGUAGCCGGCCUGAGAGGGUGAACGGCCACAUUGGGACUGAGACACGGCCCAAACUCCUACGGGAGGCAGCAGUGGGGAAUAUUGCACAAUGGGGGAAACCCUGAUGCAGCGACGCCGCGUGAGUGAAGAAGUAUCUCGGUACGUAAAGCUCUAUCAGCAGGGAAGAAAAUGACGGUACCUGACUAAGAAGCCCCGGCUAACUACGUGCCAGCAGCCGCGGUAAUACGUAGGGGGCAAGCGUUAUCCGGAUUUACUGGGUGUAAAGGGAGCGUAGACGGCAGCGCAAGUCUGGAGUGAAAUGCCGGGGCCCAACCCCGGAACUGCUUUGGAAACUGUGCAGCUCGAGUGCAGGAGAGGUAAGCGGAAUUCCUAGUGUAGCGGUGAAAUGCGUAGAUAUUAGGAGGAACACCAGUGGCGAAGGCGGCUUACUGGACUGUAACUGACGUUGAGGCUCGAAAGCGUGGGGAGCAAACAGGAUUAGAUACCCUGGUAGUCCACGCCGUAAACGAUGAUUACUAGGUGU